GAAGCGCAGUGCAUUGUGGGAUGACGUAUUGUUUUUGAAUAUCUGGUUACCCGCUUAGCACUCCGGUUCAAGACGGUAGUGGCGGGAUAGACGACUGUGUAUUCUCAAUUCUUAGAUGCAUGUUAUCCAAUUGAAAUGUAUAGCUCUAUGCUGCAUUAUGUAGCAUAUUAUUCCACAGAAAAUAAACUGCCCAUAGGAUAUGUUUUGAAUUGAGAUUCAAAUGAAUUUCUGCUAGACAGACUUCCUCUGCUUCCAGAAACUUUGCAUGAUCAGCCCAGAGAAGUCCUGGCAUCCAUGAAAAGAUGGAAACCUGCAGAUGACAUGCAACAGCUUUCAGCAACCAUCAAACUCCCUACCACCACCAGCUAGCUAUACACCAGCUAUAAUAACCUCAAGGCCUGUCAAUGGAACUCCUUUCCCCCACCGGGGGAGCAGCCGGUGGGGGAAAUUGCAUUCUCUUUGUUGAUAAUUCAGUUAAACCCGCACUUGAUUGAACUACCAUGUGUAGAUGCAACAGCUACAAAGUGGGCACAAUUAGAAUGUGAAUAAGAUCAGGACAAAGGGUGCAUGUUAGCACCAGGUAUAAACAAGGCUUCUGUCUCUAUCAUUCUCCUGAUCUCCUCCUCUCCCCCUACUCUCUCUCUCACUCUCCCACAGCCAAACCCAAUUCCAUUGCAGGAGGCAGGGAUGGGACCUUUGUUAUUAAACACUGCAAACCUUUAUAGCACAAUAAAAUGUGUAUUUUUGCUAUUUUCCUCCCCCUCUCUCCUCCUCCUUUCUCCUGUGCAAACAGAUGCUCUCUGUAGUGUUGUGGUUUUGACUUUCGAGCGCCUCUCUCAUAAUUCACUUUCUUCCCUUCUUUCUUUCCUAGUCACAUCUCUCUCUCUCUCUUACUCCCCCUCCCCCCUCUC